CAGCCGCAUAAGGCGCCGCGCUACCGCGGCGCUUAAAACACGAAAUACAGCUUCCCGCAGCGCUUAAUUAUCCCGCGAGGUGCCUCAAUUAUUAGCGCAGCGUCUUAAAUCAGUAAGCGAUUUCAUCCCUGUGAGAUACCUCAGGUAAAUAUCGAUCGGGGAAGUUUAUGAAUACACAGUGUAGCUAGCUGUUUACCGUGUACUGAUAAGGGUUUAAAGAGGACACGUGUUGGUGAAAGUCUGUGUUUUCACAAGUUUGCUUGCGGUUAAUUGGAGCAGGAGUGAUUGGAUUAUAAUUAGUUAAAGAUUAUAAUUAGUCUCUGCAACGAAAUGGGAUAACAGUUGGUGACGGAAUGCAGGGGCUCUUUCAUCACUCUUCUCCCUUGAAGAAGACCGGGCGGUUAUUGAAUGGGCACAGGCGAAAGCCACCCUUACCACAGAUGAACACUUUGCGCACCAUGGAGUGGAUUGUUGGUAAUCUGUUCAAGUCUCACCCAAACCUGAGCAAAGUCGCUACAGUGGGACUGCUUCUACUAACCUCCACAGCUGAUUGUGAGAGAGGUUUCAGCAGUUGAAUGUGAAGACCACCCACCAUUCACCAGUGAGCAUGAAAGUGCUUAAUGCCUUACUCAUGGUGUCCAUGCAGGGACAAAAAUUGAAUGACUUUAAUUUCAGUGGUGCAGUAAAGGAAUGGCAGACACUUACCGGUAUAUGAAAACAAAAAUGCCUAUGUGCUGUUGGUGUUAGUACAAAAGAAGUGGAAGGACAUAUGUGUUGUUUGAAAAUACAUAUAAAAGAAGUGGACAUCUGUUUAGUGUAUAUGAUAUAUUGAUGGUUAUAUGAUUAUGUAAAAAUGUAGAAGUAAUGAAAUACAUGUUGUUGUGUUUUUUUGCAUAUGGUAUACUUAAAAAAGCACCAUUUGGGUUUGAUUUUUUAAAAAAAAAUCGAACACGGGAGGGGAAACCCCUCCCGCACCCACCCCUUAUCCCACCACGCAAACUUUACCCCAGCGCCUUAAAAAAUUUCUGGGGAAGGGCCUGAUAAAUACCACUAUACUUGGAACAUCACUUGCACUUAUGUAAUGUGUCAGAUUAAAUAAGGGGUGUCACUAUCAUUUUAGCCCCAUCAGGGCUGUUCCAUGCAUAUAUACCACAAGGCAUUUGGAAACUCCAGUGUGUAUGCAUAUUAUGUAGCACAAAUCAAGUUAUUAUGUGCAAAGGAACUAACUUCUUAUCCGAAAUAUAUGGCAACCUGUCUUGAACACUAAAAGCAUAUUGUAAUUGUUAUUUACCACCUCAUGGAAGUCUUGUACAUGCCUUGCAGUGUUAAGCAUGUAGCUGAGAAUAUGAAUAGGUCUAGAAGAAAUAACCUUUUGCGCUUAUCUUUUUACCAAGUCAAGGGCCAUAACUCUGGUCUGGCUCAAUAAAAUCUCUAACAAAACCCAAGGUGCAAAACUUCACAGUCAUAUUGAAUAAUAUUCCUGAAAUGUUUCAUAAUCCUAGGUUAAUACUUUUUGAGAUACAUGCCAAACAAUUUUUUUCUGCCUUUUUAUGCAUAUUUUUGAAUAAGUCAAGGACCAUAACUCUGGCUCUGUGGGAUCCCAAUUAAAAUGUCAAGUGCACAACUUCUCAUGCUGAUUAACAAUCCUGUAAGGUUUGAUGACACCUGGUCAAAUACUUCGAGAUAUGCAUGACAUAAAAUCCAACAGUGAUGGUAGGAUGGAAAAAUGGACAAGGCCAUCUCUAAGUGCCCCCCCCUAAAACUUUAGGGGUAUAAAAAUAGUCUAGUUAUCUUAUCAACAAACAUUUGAAUAUACAGUUUUUGCAAACAACUACCUACUUUUCAAGUUUGUGUAGAUGUUGUAUACGUCUAUUCACAGAGGAACCAACAGAUGGAAUGUAUGGUGGUGCUGGUUUGUCAUUAUUUUGAACCUCCACUUCAGAAUUAGAGACUGCACCUGGUAAAACUGGUUUUUCUUCAUUUUCUUGGUACUCCACAACAGAAUUUAAUCCACCAGCAAGCUUUUGUCCU